UAGGGAACCUGGGCAACAGAAGAUCAAAGAUGAACGUGGACAGGCACCCCUUGGACAAAGGACGAUAUGCUUAUUGCAAAGAAAAAGAACAUUGGGCAAGAAAAUGCCCAAAGAAGAAAGGAAGGGACUCUAAGGUACUGGCCCUAGCAGAAGAUGAUUAGAGGGGAGAAAAUAAAAGACUACAGUAAUUGGAGCAACUGGACAGAAACAAUAUCUAUGGACCACCUCACGAACUGUAGAUUUGGGGAGAGGACAAGUGACUCAUUCCUUCCUGGUUAUCCCCGAGCGUCCUAUCUUUAUUAGAAAGAGACUUGCUAAUGAAGCUGAAGGCCCAGAUCCGGUUUACUCAAACCAGGCUGGAGAUGAUUAAAGCCUUUGUUGACUGAACCAGUGACCUUCGCUCCCCCUGCUGUCCUCCAUCCCGCUACCCUACUGCCUGAGACUGAUGACAUCUCGUCUACUCAUCAAUGCGCUGAGAAGCUGGCACCAGAAAUGAUCUGAAGGAUCAGCCUUGGCCUGAAAGUCCGAGCUGGUGUACGGAUGGCAGCUGUUUCGUGAUCGAAGAUACCCUUUUCAGGCUGGGUAGAAGCUUUUCCCACCAGGACUGAGACAGCCAAUGCGGUGGCUAAGAAGAUCAAA